AGGAAGUAAAAGUCGUAACAAGGUUUCCGUAGGUGAACCUGCGGAAGGAUCAUUAUCGUAUUACAGAGGCACCUCGGGCUGUCGCUGGCCUUUACAGGUUGUGCACGCCCAAAGUGCUUUCUCACAUCCAUCCACCCCUUUGUGCAUUACCGCGUGGGACUCCCUAUUAGGGGGUCUUGCGUCUUUUUACAACAAACACACAUGUAUAGAAUGUCUUUGCGAUUAUACGCAAUCAAAUAUAACUUUCAACAACGGAUCUCUUGGCUCUCGCAUCGAUGAAGAACGCAGCGAAAUGCGAUACGUAAUGUGAAUUGCAGAAUUCAGUGAAUCAUCGAAUCUUUGAACGCACCUUGCACCCCUUGGUAUUCCGAGGGGUACACCCGUUUGAGUGUCGUGAAUACCAUCAACCUUCUUGGUUUCUUGACCAUGAAGGCUUGGAAUUUGGAGGUUCUCCUUUGCUGGCCUUUAUUCAAAGUCAGCUCCUCCUAAAUGAAUUAGUGGGAUCUGCUUUGCUGAUCCUUGACGUGAUAAUUAUGUUUCUACGUCUUGGUUUUUGCAAUGUUACCUGCUUCAAACCGUCUUUAAACCAAAAGACAAUGUUCGAGUUGUAACUCGACUUCACUUGACCUUGACCUCAAAUCGGGUGAGACUACCCGCUGAACUUAAGCAUAUC
rnacentral:rRNA from 1 species